rnacentral:lncRNA from 1 species
UUUAUACACAUAGUUAGUUGUAGACUUGCAUUCCAAAUCUAUACUAUACUAUAAUAAGCCAACAUGGGUAUAAUUUGUAGUCCUAGAUUUUAGUUAUAUUUUUUGUUUGGUACUCUCCUUUUGGUACUACAACUCUACAAAUGUGGAGUCUAUUGGUCUUACAUUGUUAAACAGUUUUAAAUAUUAAAAACACUCUUAACAAUAUCU